AUGUGCAUUCCUAAGGAUAGAGGGGGCAUGGGCUUUUGUGACGUCCAUAGCUUUAAUUUGGCACUCCUAGCUAAACAGGUUUGGAGGCUUAUUGAGCAUCAUUUGUGUGCAAGGGUACUCCGUUCAAAAUACUACCCAACGGGAGAAUUGCUAAAUUGUGAACUCAAGAAGGGGGCCUCUUUUGUUUGGCAAAGCAUAUUGGCAGGAGCCCAAACUUUCAAGAAAGGGUGUAUAUGGAGGGUUGGUAACGGUUUGAAGUUGAACAUUUGGGAAGAUUGCUGGAUUCCCAACAGUUCCUCAAGGAAAAUUGUGAUGCCCCGAGGAAACAGAGUUCUAACUCGAGUUAAUGAACUUAUCGACCCAGCCUCUGGGGAGUGGGAUGAACAACUUAUCAAAGAUAAUUUUUGGCCCAUGGAUGUUGAUCGGAUCUUACAAAUCCCUUUGCACCAGGGAGAUACGGAGGACUAUGUAGCAUGGCAUUUGACAAGGUCGGGCAUUUUUAGUGUAUGCUCG
rnacentral:rRNA from 1 species